UACGAAGGGGACUAGCGUUGCUCGGAAUCACUGGGCGUAAAGCGCACGUAGGCGGAUUGUUAAGUCAGGGGUGAAAUCCUGGAGCUCAACUCCAGAACUGCCUUUGAUACUGACGGUCUUGAGUUCGGGAGAGGUGAGUGGAACUGCGAGUGUAGAGGUGAAAUUCGUAGAUAUUCGCAAGAACACCAGUGGCGAAGGCGGCUCACUGGCCCGAUACUGACGCUGAGGUGCGAAAGCGUGGGGAGCAAACAGG
rnacentral:rRNA from 1 species